rnacentral:rRNA from 1 species
AGAAUCAACGCUGGCGGCGUGCCUAACACAUGCAAGUCGAACGAGAAAGGGUAGCAAUACCUGAGUAAAGUGGCGCACGGGUGAGUAACACGUGACUAACCUACCCUGGAGUGGGGGAUAACUGAGGGAAACCUUAGCUAAUACCGCAUAAUACCUACGGGUCAAAGGAGCAAUUCGCUUUGGGAGGGGGUCGCGGCCGAUUAGUUAGUUGGCGGGGUAAUGGCCCACCAAGACAGUGAUCGGUAUCCGGCCUGAGAGGGGCGCGACGGAACGACGACCUGGAACGUGAAACACGGUCCAGACUCCUACGGGAGGCAGCAGUGGGGAAUUUUGCGCAAUGGGGGAAACCCUGACGCAGCAACGCCGCGUGGAGGAUGAAGUACUUCGGUACGUAAACUCCUUUCGAUCGGGACGAUAAUGACGGUACCGGAAGAAGAAGCCCCGGCUAACUUCGUGCCAGCAGCCGC